UACGAAGGGGGCUAGCGUUGCUCGGAUUUACUGGGCGUAAAGGGCGCGUAGGCGGACAGUUAAGUUGGGGGUGAAAGCCCGGGGCUCAACCUCGGAAUUGCCUUCAAUACUGGCUGUCUUGAGUGUGAGAGAGGUGUGUGGAACUCCGAGUGUAGAGGUGAAAUUCGUAGAUAUUCGGAAGAACACCAGUGGCGAAGGCGACACACUGGCUCACUACUGACGCUGAGACGCGAAAGCGUGGGGAGCAAACAGG
rnacentral:rRNA from 1 species